UGCAGCGCAAACGGCAGAAACUUGUACAGAGAGCUUCUCAAUUUGUACCCUCAAAGUUAGCCAUGGAUUCGUUGAAUUCCACCUCGGCAAUGACGAAGAAGUGCAUGGAGGUAAGAAGCAGCUUGGGCCAAAGAUCUUCAGCUGCAACGCGAAGUGAGCCGUUGAUCCAGAAUUAUUCGAAUUUUAAGCGGAGCUCUCGCCCUGAGCGAUUGAUGUUCUACGAGGACGGAUCGUGGGUGGAUUAUUCGGAGGAAGUGGCUGAGUUGUUGAAAUUAGGGUUUGCCGAGGGGAGGCCGAUGGUUGAGGCUCAAGUCCUAGGGUACAGCUGUAUUUUUGACUUGUACCGAAUGCUUGAGAUUGAUUUGGAGUCCGGUAAUCAGAGGUCCAUCGCUUGGAUUGAUGCUGAUGGUAAGUGUUUUUUCCCUAAAACAUUUGUCAACACUCGUGGAAAUGAUCGUGAGGUGGAAUUGGUCGACGCCGAUCAGAAUUGCGCCAAGAUUGAGAUUGAUAUAAAAAUUGUUGAGAAUUCAGGGAAUCACGAGGGUGUGAAUUUGAGUAAGAGGGGGAGAACCGAGAAUGUACAGGGGGAGAGUUUUAGUGGCACCGAUGCUAAAAGGCGGAAAAUUGAUGAGAGUGAGUCGCAGUCAUCGCGGUGGACGAAGGCGAGGAAUGUGGCAGCUGGGGAGAAACGGUAUGAAUUGGUUAGGAAUCUGUUCUUAUCCGCGCUGGAGAAUGUGGACCCGGGUGCUAAGGUUACCUCCAUUCAUCAAUGUGUGCGGAAUGGACCCUUGGAUAAAGCGCGUUCGGAGGUUUUUGCUAAGCAAGUAGACAUCAAGAAACAAGCUAGAGGGGAAAGUAAUAUGGUUUUUGCGUGGUAUGGGGCGUCACCCCAGGGCGUGGAGAGCAUCUUGAUGCAUGGUUUUGGAAUCCCUGGCAAGCUAUCUCGCUCCCCCAGUCAUGGCAUUGGAAUUCACUUGUCGCCUGUAAGAUCACCCCAAGAUAGUGCAAUGUUGGCGGAGGUGGAUGAGAAUGGUGAGAAACAUGUCAUAUUGUGUAGAGUGAUAUUGGGAAGAUGCGAGAAGGUUGAAGCAGGGUCGCUUCAGUCGUAUCCAUCAAGUGCGGAGUUUGAUACUGGUGUUGAUGAUUUAAACAAUCCUAGGUGGUAUACAGUGUGGCAUGGAAACAUGAACACUCAUAUUCUACCAGAAUGUGUGGUCAGCUACCGGCCUGUAAAUAUAAAAGGCUAUGUUAAUAGUGUUCCCAAGCAUGGGGCUCCUCAUCCGUCGACAUUUAUUGCAAAGCUAUUGAACAAGCUGAGAGGUUCGCUGGCUUUGCCACAGUUUGGCGAAUUGCAAACUUCAUGGGAGUUGUGUAAGGAAGGGAAGUUGAGAAAAUAUUUUUUCAUGAAAAAAAUACGAUCACUUGUUGCAGAUGAUGUGCUGCGCUCUGCAAUUCAAGAAAUUCGUGGCUGAGAAUAAGCUUUUAUACUUGUUAAAGUAGUUAUAUCUCUGGAGUAGAUGCUGUUAGUAGAUGCAUACAAGGUUUGGCUGUGACGCAUCUUGCAAUUGUCUCUUUUCAUUUUAGUUAUUCUAGUAGUUUAUUUGCUUGUAGCCAUUUUUUAAAAAUCAAUCGAUGAUCAGCUACUUGUGGAGCCUUUCUGCACUCUGCUAGACCUAAUGAUUUGUGCUAGGUGAGUCAGAUGGAAGAACUGCUGUGCAGAGCUGGUGUAUUUUAAGAUUUACUUGGAAUGGAAAAUGAGAGGGAAAAAGGGAAAGAACGAAGCAUAAUUGUCUUACCAAUUGAGUGUUGUGUUGUCAUAAAUUGUGAAUGAAUAUGAAGAUCAGAUUUGUGGAAGGAAAGUGAAAUUUUAAGUCAAUUUGAAGAGGUGUCUACGUAUGUGCUGGAAUACAGAUAAGAUCAUAAGACGAGAAAGGAAAUAUGGUGUAGUAUAUCUUUAUUAUAUACGAUUAGGUAUUCAAGUUUAUUUUUCUCUUUUUUUUUGAGCAAAUGAAUAUAAAUUAAAGUUCUCUUUUUAAUUCAAGGUUUUACAUGGCAUUUUAGAAAUUUAGUUCU